rnacentral:rRNA from 1 species
AAAAAUUUUCAACGGUGGAUAUCUUGGUUCCCAUAUCGAUGAAGAACGCAGCCAAAUGCGAUACGCAAUGCGAAUUGCAGAAUUCCGCGAGUCAUCAGAUCUUUGAACGCAAAUGGCGC